rnacentral:misc_RNA from 1 species
GUGGCUAGUAGUUGGGGAAGAACCAUCCACGGCGCGCCCACCCGGCCGAUUCUCGCCGGCCGUCGUCAGGUUUGAUGGUCAAGAUCUCCAGGUGGCGCCCCCGCUGUCUUUCCAUGCCCAACACCCUGACGACCCCGUCCGGGUGGCCACGGUCGACGAGGUAGAUGCGAUUGACGCGAGCGCGGUACCAGGGGAACUCCGCCCGCGAGAGCGCGAACGCGCGAUUCCGCCCCAGGAACAGACUGUUCCAUCCGAGGUCCACCACGCGCACCAGCCGCACCGUCCUAUCCCCGAGCCAAUCCACCCUGUGCACCUCCACCGCACGCGCGAACCCGCUGCCGAUCUUGAUGCCCCCGUCGUCCACGCCCGCCAUGUCGUCGUCCGAGUUGUACAUGACGUCGUCGUGCACCGAGACGAGGAGCAGCUGGCGGUCACACUCCACCAGGUGCGUCUCGACGACGCGCCUCCCUUCGCCAGGGAGCUUGUCGUUGUCCGAGACGACGGCGUCGCCGUUCGCGUCGACGUGCUCGAGUGGGAUGACCGCGGGCGCGUCCCCGUCGACCUCGCAGAUGCAGAUCGAGGACUUGAAGGCCACAUAGAACCGCCCCCUGUAGUGCUCGACAGCGGCGUAGCCGGUCACGCUGAAAUCGAGCCGCGUCCACGCCCCAGUGACGGAGCUGUAGUACGCGAGGCAGGUCGUCGGGAACCCGACGGCCACCGCGGCCCACUCGGUGGCCGUGGCGGGGUCGCCCGACAGCACGAUGGUGGUCAAGUCGAGCCACUUCUUGAAGAAGCCGAUGGGCGGGAGGCGGACGCGCCUGCCUGUCAAGGGGUUGAGGAGGAGGAUGACCUUGGGGCUGAUCCUCGGGUCCGAGAGCGCGAGGUAGCCGUGGGACGAGGAGAGGUACUCCAGCCCCGAUGGCACGUUCGCGGCGAAGGGCAGGAGGGCGACGCUGGGGGCGAGCCAGAAUGACGAAAUUUCGCUGGCGCCCUGGCCGGAGCGGUCGGUGCGGGAGCCGACGAGCCAAGGGCGCGGGCGCCACGCGGCGGCGGCGGCGCCCCAGUCCGCGCAGACGGCGCGGAAACGGACGCGGUGAGCGUCGGCAGGGAGGAGGGCGAAUAUGCUGAGCAGCAGGUCCGCCGGCAGAGAGGACCACCCCGUGCCGCCCCUGCCGCCGCACGCCAUGCCCGGCUGAGGCGCCGAGGAGAGGGAGAGGUUAUGUCCAACUCCAACCUGUCUGCGCUCGGUGUCUUUCACGCGGCUGGCUCUGGCUUGCCUGCCCAAGCAAAGAAGGGGCAAGGGGGCUCAAACUGAAGCAUAGCGGUGAAAAAUGCAGCGUUCGCUGAAGUCAACAUGCGCGGCUGGUGCGGAGCGGAGCCGAUUUUUUUUUAUUUUAGUCCUUUUCUUAAAAAAAAUCACAUUUAGAUUAUAUAUUAUUUAAUGUCGUUUUUACCAUUUAGGCUGGCUCCAACAGCCGACAGGUAAAAUGGGCAGGCA